AUGGAAGCCCUAGCUCAGCUUCUCUGCCUCCUGUUACUCUGGAUCCCAGAUACCACUGGAGAAGCCACGUUGACACAGUCUCCAGCCUCCCUGUCUUUGUCUCCGGGGGAAAGCGCCACCCUCACCUGCAGGGCCAGUCAAGAGUGUUAGCAACUACCUAGCCUGGUACCAGCAGGAACCUGGGCAGGCUCCCAGGCUCCUCAUGUAUGAUGCAACCACCAGGGCCUCUGGCAUCCCAGCCCGGUUCAGUGGCAGUGGGUCGGGGACAGACUUUACUCUCACCAUCAGCAGCCUGGAGCCUGAAGAUGUUGCUGUUUAUUACUGCCAUCAGUACUAUAGCGGGUAUCCACAGUGA